rnacentral:rRNA from 1 species
GAUUUCUGGUAUGGCGCACUUGGCCCGCUUCGGUUACGGAGUUGAGUGCCGGUGUGCGCCUGCCAUCCUUCUGGUUUACGACUCUCCCUUCACUGGGUUGGGCCGGAGUCCAGAUCAUUUACUUUGAAAAAAUUAGAGUGUUUAAAGCAGGCUUACGCUAUGAAUACAUUAGCAUGGAAUAAUAAUUUAGGACUUUGGUCUUAUUUUGUUGGUUUCUAGGACUAAAGUAAUGAUUGAUAGGGACAGUUGGGGGUGCUAGUAUUCAGCGGCCAGAGGUGAAAUUCUUGGAUUCGCUGAAGACUAACUUAUGCGAAAGCAUU